CUCUCGGAGGAGGAGAAUAGUCGCAUCGGCCAGCGUCGUUCAAUCCAAGAAUAUUGAAGUACUCCGUCAGCUCAGGCAACCACAUCUCAAGAUCCCUCCUCGAAUAGUCAGGCCUCGAGUACGACGAUGGGCCCAUCUCGCCGAGAAUCUGUGCCGACUCGGUUAUACUGCUCCGUGUUUCAGUUUUCUGGGAACAGAUGAUCGACAGAUCAGGGACAGAUGUAGGACAAAAACCGUGUGCACUCGGCGACCCUAAUUAUCGUAAUUAACUAGCCGCUAGCGCAUCCUGCCGGAUGGUUCCUCCGCGUGGGUGAAGUGAACCCAUCAUCCGUUAGGGGCAGCUCAAAUUCUUCAAACCAUUAUUUCGUUUGUUGACUACAUCCUCAAAUCUCUUUCAAGUUUCAUCCUCCAACACCGCUGACUACAUCAAAUCACUUCGGUCUGUGGUCGUUGAUUUUUUCCCAUAGCGAUGGUCGCCGGCCUUCGCGAAGCCUUUUCUCCAACAUUGCUUGUUCGGCACGUUUAUGUCGUUUCUGGUUCACUUUCCGAACGAAUGGUAUUUUGUCGAGCAUGCUACUUCCGAAAUUUUUCAUACCACGAAGUUCACCCAUUUUCCGAAAAGCCUCGGUCGUUCCGAGGAAAUUCUGCUAUGACAGAAGUCUUUCACUUGGAAAUGUCACUGUCGACUGACAUACGGAAAUCUUAUCAUCUACUUUCUCAAACCCUGGAAUACUAGCUGGUUCUGAACAUUGUUUUGAUAACAAAGGGUUACUAUUUUUCGAUGGUAGGUUCACGUUAAAGAAUUGAAUCAGUCAACCCGUGAAAUGGAAGUUGAGUUCAUUGUCUGAUGAUUCUGAUGCCAUUUGAUGGUACUUGCGGAAAAGAGACCGUUCUGCUCUGAAGACUUGGGUGUGUUUAAUGCUGUCUUUUCGACCUUCUGUUCGACUACGGGAUCCAGGAUUCUAGGACCACGAGACCUCGCUGUGGCCAGAACAAAGGCCUGCGUUUUCUGCCAAAGUAUUCAGAUUCCCUCACAAGAGACAUCGAAGGGCAUUGAAGUUGUAACCCAUAUCAGCCAUUCUCUACGGAUACGAAAUCCAUUAUGCAAGCAAAAUCAUCCACUUCGAAAUUGACACUUUUUUUUAAGUGCUCUUGACGAACAAAUUUUCAACUGCACUUCUGAAUAUGAUGUGCCGACGACAUAAGACGGAGAAAGAUACAUUCAUAAUCAGAUAUCUUACAAAAAAUUUGUUUCAAUUUUCUUCACAAUGACGUAGAAAUAAUGUUACGCCCCAGCCAAUAAUCACAGCAGUACUGUUUAAACCGAACUUAUCCUUUUCUUUUCCAUGUCCGUGCGCGCUUUCUACUCCGUCUGAUACCCGGAAUCUCCACCGCUUCCAGAAAGCCGCGGCAGGUUUAGGCCAUAGACUUAUAAAGAUAGACUGAGCGCUCCUAUAAGAGACACUGACGAUUGCAUAUAAAGGACAGAGAUAUACCGGGAGUACUGCUCUCUCUUUUUAAUCGGCGUCAUGGUGGGAGACAACGGAGCAGUGGAAGUGGAACAGCUAUAGAUAUAGGUGCAUAAUUUCGCCUCAUUCUCCUCUACCGCCUCGAUCCCCGCCACAAAUAUCGUCAGAGAGAGCAAGGAGUACUCCCGGCAUAUUUCUGUCCUUUAAAUGUUUGCUUCAAGCGGCUCACAAGAGCGCUCAGUCUAUCUUUAUAGGUCUAUGGUUUAGGCGCGAUCGCGGAGAUACGCGAUUGGGUGGAUAGCCGUUAAUCGCGAAAGAUGGCGCUGAUCGUUGGAUGAAUAGCGAUUAAUAACCCGGAAUCGAUGCUCGGAGGUUCAGUCUGAUCGAGUCUACGGUACCGAUAACAUCGCCGCGGAUCAUCUUAGGUAUUCUCAUUUUCACCAUCCUCUCAGUUCAGUCUCUGUUCUUCUCCUCUCCAAU